rnacentral:misc_RNA from 1 species
AACAUCGCGCACCUGCGGGAACCUGCGGAAGGAUCAUUACCGAGUUUACAACUCCCAAACCCAUGUGAACAUACCUAUCGUUGCUUCGGCGGGAUCGCCCCGGGCGCCUCGUGUGCCCCGGAUCCGGCGCCCGCCUAGGAACCUUAACUCUUGUUUUAUUUUGGAAUCUUCUGAGUAGUUUUUACAAAUAAAUAAAAACUUUCAACAAUGGAUCU